rnacentral:rRNA from 1 species
GAUGAACGCUGGCGGUAGGCCUUACACAUGCAAGUCGAGCGAUUCUUGCUUUUUAUGAUUUGACGAGCUUGCUCUGAAAUGACUAAGAAGCGCUGAAUAGCGGCAAACGGGUGCGUAACACGUAGGAAUGUCCCUUUAGUUGGGUAUAGCUAGCCGAAAGGUUAGGUAAUCCCCAAUGUGAACGAGAGUUUAAAGACGCAAGUCGCUAAAGGCACAGCCUGCGGCCCAUCAGCUAGUUGGUGAGGUAAUAGCUCACCAAGGCUAAGACGGGUAGCUGGUCUGAGAGGACGAUCAGCCACACUGGAACUGAGACACGGUCCAGACACCUACGGGUGGCAGCAGUGGGGAAUUUUCGGCAAUGGGCGCAAGCCUGACCGAGCCAUACCGCGUGCAGGAUGAAUGCCCUUUGGGUUGUAAACUGCUGUGGAGAGCUACUAUAAUGAAGAGCUCUCUAGAAAGAGGUUGCUAACUCUG